rnacentral:tRNA from 2 species
CGGGGCGUGGCUCAGUUUGGUUUAGAGCACUGGCUUUGGGAGCCAGGGGUCGUCGGUUCGAAUCCGACCGCCCCGACCA